GAUGAACGCUGGCGGCGUGCCUAAUACAUGCAAGUCGAGCGAACGGACGAGAAGCUUGCUUCUCUGAUGUUAGCGGCGGACGGGUGAGUAACACGUGGAUAACCUACCUAUAAGACUGGGAUAACUUCGGGAAACCGGAGCUAAUACCGGAUAAUAUUUUGAACCGCAUGGUUCAAAAGUGAAAGACGGUCUUGCUGUCACUUAUAGAUGGAUCCGCGCUGCAUUAGCUCGUUGGUAAGGUAACGGCUUACCAAGGCCACGAUGCAUAGCCGACCUGGCAGGCUCAUUGGUCAUCCUGGAAGUGGUACACUGUCUAUACUCCUAACGGAGGAAGCAGUUGGUAAUUUUCCGCAUCGGGGGAAAGUCUGACGUAAAAACGCCGCGUGGGUCAUGAAGGUCUUUGGUUCUGAAAACUCUCUUAUGAGGGAAGAAAAUAUGUGUAAGUAACUGUACACAUCUUGACGUUACCUAAUCAGAAAGCCACGGCUAACUACGUG
rnacentral:rRNA from 1 species